rnacentral:tRNA from 1 species
GGUGGUAUAGCUUAGUGGCAGAGCAUUCGACUGCAGAUCGAGAAGUCCCCAGUUCAAAUCUGGGUGCCCCUU